rnacentral:lncRNA from 1 species
UUUUCUUAUUGGGCAAAUUCAAGGUAUCGGAGUUAUUCAUAAUUUGUAUUCAAAAAGUAGCGUUUUACAACAAGUGCAGCCGUUGCAAGUCAGGAUCAUUUGGGUGUCCGUCCACGUUUGCUGGUGCAUGUAUAUUUACCACUGCAGCGUUUGGGUUGGUCAAGUGCAGCC